UACGGAGGGUGCAAGCGUUAUCCGGAUUCACUGGGUUUAAAGGGCGCGUAGGCGGCCCGCACAAGUCUGCGGUGAAAACCCCCGGCUUAACCGGGGGCCGGCCGUGGAAACUGUCGGGCUGGAGGCUGGGAGAGGGCAGCGGAAUUCCCGGUGUAGCGGUGAAAUGCGUAGAGAUCGGGAGGAACACCGGCGGCGAAGACGGCUGCCUGGACCAGUCCUGACGCUGAGGCGCGAAAGCUAGGGGAGCAAACAGG
rnacentral:rRNA from 1 species